rnacentral:tRNA from 1 species
UUUCAUCUGGCAGAUAAAUGCAUCAAAUUUAGGAUUUGAAGAUAGACAAUAUGUUUGAUGAAAA